UACGUAGGGCGCAAGCGUUGUCCGGAAUUAUUGGGCGUAAAGAGCUCGUAGGUGGCGUGUCGCGUCUGCCGUGAAAGCCCAUGGCUUAACUGUGGGUCUGCGGUGGAUACGGGCAGGCUAGAGGCUGGUAGGGGCAAGCGGAAUUCCUGGUGUAGCGGUGAAAUGCGCAGAUAUCAGGAGGAACACCGGUGGCGGAGGCGGGUCUCUGGGCCGUAACUGACGCUGAGGAGCGAAAGCGUGGGGAGCGAACAGG
rnacentral:rRNA from 1 species